rnacentral:rRNA from 1 species
GACGAACGCUGGCGGCGUGCUUAACACAUGCAAGUCGAACGGAAAGGCCCUGCUUUUGUGGGGUGCUCGAGUGGUGAACGGGUGAGUAACACGUGAGUAACCUGCCCUUGACUUUGGGAUAACUUCAGGAAACUGGGGCUAAUACCGGAUAGGAGCUCCUGCUGCAUGGUGGGGGUUGGAAAGUUUCGGCGGUUGGGGAUGGACUCGCGGCUUAUCAGCUUGUUGGUGGGGUAGUGGCUUACCAAGGCUUUGACGGGUAGCCGGCCUGAGAGGGUGACCGGCCACAUUGGGACUGCGAUACGGCCCAGACUCCUACGGGAGGCAGCAGUGGGGAAUAUUGCACAAUGGGCGGAAGCCUGAUGCAGCAACGCCGCGUGCGGGAUGACGGCCUUCGGGUUGUAAACCGCUUUCGCCUGUGACGAAGCGUGAGUGACGGUAAUGGGUAAAGAAGCACCGGCUAACUACGUG